rnacentral:rRNA from 1 species
CCGGUGGCGAAAGCGCCUCGAGAGGACGGACCCGACAGUGAGGGACGAAAGCCAGGGUCUCGAACCGGAUUAGAUACCCGGGUAGUCCUGGCCGUAAACGAUGUCUGCUAGGUGUGGCGCAGGCUACGAGCCUGCGCUGUGCCGCAGGGAAGCCGUGAAGCAGACCGCCUGGGAAGUACGUCUGCAAGGAUGAAACUUAAAGGAAUUGGCGGGGGAGCACUACAACCGGAGGAGCCUGCGGUUUAAUUGGACUCAACGCCGGACAUCUCACCAGCUCCGACUACAGUGAUGACGACCAGGUUGAUGACCUCAUCACGACGCUGUAGAGAGGAGGUGCAUGGCCGCCGUCAGCUCGUACCGUGAGGCGUCCUGUUAAGUCAGGCAACGAGCGAGACCCGCACCCCUAAUUGCCAGCAACAGUUUCGACUGGUUGGGUACAUUAGGAGGACUGCCAGUGUUAAACUGGAGGAAGGAACGGGCAACGGUAGGUCAGUAUGCCCCGAAUGAGCUGGGCAACACGCGGGCUACAAUGGCUAAGACAAUGGGUCGCUAUCUUGACAGAGAACGCUAAUCUUGAAACUUAGUCGUAGUUCGGAUUGAGGGCUGAAACUCGCCCUCACGAAGCUGGAUUCGGUAGUAGCCGCCUUUCAGUAGAAGGCGACGAAUACGUCCCUGCUCCU